ACUUGCUCCAGUUUGCACUUCAAUGUAUUUCGUCUGUUACAGAUUCACAUCUCGGCGCAUGCGUAUUAAUGAUGCGCACACAUCUUUUUCAAAUCGUCCACAGGUUGGCGCCUUCAGUCUGUACCAAAUCACGUACAAGCAUUUUUCGUCUUAAGAUUUGUCUUCGUUUUCUUUUGUUUCAGUGGAUUUCAGUGGAUUUCAAUGCAUUCAUAAAGGUAACUAAAAUGAAUUGUUAGCUGUUUUUUACUUUUGUAUUUUAAUUAGGUAGCAAAUAUUGUUUGUUUGAACGUUUUAAUUCAGAUUUCUUAAAAAUGAAUUACCGACAUUGUAUGAAUCUUGUUCGUCAGGUAGCGCACUCUGUACUAGAAUGCAGUAGAAGUCAGAUGCACCCUUGCAAUUCUUUUGGAAUACUAUUCACAGAACAUCAUUAUGAAAUGGUAUUUUAUAGAAAUUUUUUAUUAGUAUAAUUACAAUAGAGAUAUUUUUCAUGAUAUCUAAGAAUUCAAUAUAUUCGAUACAUCCUAUCUUCUAUGUAAAAUGAUGUGUACUGUAUCAUGAUUUUGUAUAUGUUUUGUAGUCACUUUGACAUAAUUUUUCUCAAUACGUAUAAUCUUUUAUCAGACGCAAUGUUUACCAAAUGCAAUUUUGUAGGAAGUAUUUUUCAUUGAUUUACUUGUAAGCUGUUUUAUAUAAUUAAAUUAAUCGUAGAUGUUUGAACAUUUUUGUUAUUAUAUAUAAUAUUUAUCAUCUAAGCUUUCUUACUUUUGCAAAUUUAUAAAAAAGAGAAUAUUUUUUAUAUAUACUUAACAGUUCAUAUAUUAUUCAUCAAGUACGAUCAAUAGGUACUGCCAGGAAAGGAAUUGAACACUCAAAGACAACCUACUUAACGCUAUGCUCGUAAGAGGUUAAUUAAAAGCGAAGCGUAACAAUCGAUAGGCAAGAAAGGGUAAGAGCAUCGACAUCACUCCACGCAGCACUCAUAAAAGAAUAAUGGUCGCGUGUCUAGAAAACAUCGUAAUUAUGUCAAAGGAGUAACUGCGGAAGUGUAAAGUACUCCGGGCAUGUUGCAGUGAAAAUUACGCUUGAAACGGAGAUGUAUGUUCUUCACAAAAGUAGCAUCCGUAGUGUAACAGCCCUCCUAGGAAGGAUCGACUUGCGACCGCACAAUAUCCCACGUAUAUACGAUUAUCGAUCAAGGAUACGUAAACAGCCGUGGUAUAGUUGCGCACACGCGGCGACCAGGCCACUUAGCGUAUGUUUGUUUAGUACCUUUUACGACUAUAUUGUCCGGGCAUGUGUUAGAUUACGGAGCAGCCAGUGUCUGGCGCAUAGUUGAGGGUUGGGUGGUACGGCGCCGUGCUUCGAGAGGGUCAUUUAUAACUGUUAUCGUGAGACUUACUAGCCCACUUACUACCUCCACUGUGUCUAUUCUCCACCCACUCUUCUAUUCUACUGGAAGAAACGUAAGCGCGAGAUGCGCCAGUCCACCGAACCUGCUGGUCAUUCUAGCACGGUUUUUUAUUCGGUCAUCUUGUAUCACGCCAGAGAAUAAAAUCUUUGAGUAACGA